AGAGUUUGAUCCUGGCUCAGGAUGAACGCUGGCGGCGCGCCUAACACAUGCAAGUCGAACGGCACCUAUCUUCGGAUAGAAGCGAGUGGCGAACGGCUGAGUAACACGUGGAGAACCUGCCCCCUCCCCCGGGAUAGCCGCCCGAAAGGACGGGUAAUACCGGAUACCCCGGGGUGGCGCAUGGCACCCCGGCUAAAGCCCCGACGGGAGGGGAUGGCUCCGCGGCCCAUCAUGUAGACGGCGGGGUGACGGCCCACCGUGCCGACAACGGGUAGCCGGGUUGAGAGACCGACCGGCCAGAUUGGGACUGAGACACGGCCCAGACUCCUACGGGAGGCAGCAGUGGGGAAUCUUGCACAAUGGGGGGAACCCUGACGCAUCGACACCUCUUGCGGGACGGAGGGCUUCUGGUCGUAAGCCGCUUUCAGCAGGGAAGAGUCAAGACUGUACCUGCAGAAGAAGCCCCGGCUAACUACGUGCCAGCAGCCGCGGUAAUACGUAGGGGGCGAGCGUUAUCCGGAUUCAUUGGGCGUAAAGCGCGCGUAGGCGGCCCGGCAGGCCGGGGGUCGAAGCGGGGGGCUCAACCCCCCGAAGCCCCCGGAACCUCCGCGGCUUGGGUCCGGUAGGGGAGGGUGGAACACCCGGUGUAGCGGUGGAAUGCGCAGAUAUCGGGUGGAACACCGGUGGCGAAGGCGGCCCUCUGGGCCGAGACCGACGCUGAGGCGCGAAAGCUGGGGGAGCGAAACAGGAUUAGAUACCCUGGUAGUCCCAGCCGUAAACGAUGGACGCUAGGUGUGGGGGGACGAUCCCCCCGUGCCGCAGCCAACGCAUUAAGCGUCCCGCCUGGGGAGUACGGCCGCAAGGCUAAAACUCAAAGGAAUUGACGGGGGCCCGCACAAGCAGCGGAGCAUGUGGCUUAAUUCGAAGCAACGCGAAGAACCUUACCAGGGCUUGACAUAUGGGUGAAGCGGGGGAGACCCCGUGGCCGAGAGGAGCCCAUACAGGUGGUGCAUGGCUGUCGUCAGCUCGUGUCGUGAGAUGUUGGGUUAAGUCCCGCAACGAGCGCAACCCCCGCCGCGUGUUGCCAUCGGGUGAUGCCGGGAACCCACGCGGGACCGCCGCCGUCAAGGCGGAGGAGGGCGGGGACGACGUCAAGUCAUCAUGCCCCUUAUGCCCUGGCUGCACACGUGCUACAAUGGCCGGUACAGAGGGAUGCCACCCCGAGAGGGGGAGCGGAUCCCGGAAAGCCGGCCCCAGUUCGGAUUGGGGGCUGCAACCCGCCCCCAUGAAGUCGGAGUUGCUAGUAAUCGCGGAU
rnacentral:rRNA from 1 species